rnacentral:rRNA from 1 species
AUUGAACGCUGGCGGCAGGCCUAACACAUGCAAGUCGAGCGAGCAGCGGGCAGUUGAGUAAUGUCUGGGAACCUGCCUGUUAGAUGGGGAUAACUACUGGAAACGGUAUCUAAUACCGCAUACCAUCAGAUGUGGCCAGAUGGGAUUAGCUAGUAGGUGGGGUAACGGCUAACCUAGGCGACGAUCCCUAGCUGGUCUGAGAGGAUGACCAGCCACACUGGAACUGAGACACGGCCCAGACUCCUACGGGAGGCAGCAGUGGGGAAUAUUGGACAAUGGGCGAAAGCCUGAUGCAGCCAUGCCGCGUGUGUGAAGAAGGCUUUCGGGUUGUAAAGCACUUUCAGCGGGGAGGCGUUACCCGCAGAAGAAGCACCGGCUAACUCCGUGCCAGCAGCCGCGGUAAUAC